rnacentral:rRNA from 1 species
GAUGAACGCUGGCGGCGUGCCUAAUACAUGCAAGUCGAGCGAACAGACGAGGAGCUUGCUCCUCUGACGUUAGCGGCGGACGGGUGAGUAACACGUGGAUAACCUACCUAUAAGACUGGGAUAACUUCGGGAAACCGGAGCUAAUACCGGAUAAUAUAUUGAACCGCAUGGUUCAAUAGUGAAAGACGGUUUUGCUGUCACUUAUAGAUGGAUCCGCGCCGCAUUAGCUAGUUGGUAAGGUAACGGCUUACCAAGGCGACGAUGCGUAGCCGACCUGAGAGGGUGAUCGGCCACACUGGAACUGAGACACGGUCCAGACUCCUACGGGAGGCAGCAGUAGGGAAUCUUCCGCAAUGGGCGCAAGCCUGACGGAGCCACGCCGCGUGAGUGAUGAAGGUCUUCGGAUCGUAAAACUCUGUUAUUAGGGAAGAACAAAUGUGUAAGUAACUAUGCACGUCUUGACGGUACCUAAUCAGAAAGCCACGGCUAACUACGUG